rnacentral:lncRNA from 1 species
CUUACAACUAUCGGAAAUGAAAGCAUUAAAUAAUUAAAAAAUAGAGUAAGAGUUAUUGGAAUAAUAACAUUAGUAGAUUUAAACCAGAGAUAAAAGUAGUUAGUUUAGUGGUUGCAUUAGUACUAGUGGUGCAGUAAUAGCAGAAAUUAUUUUAUUCAUAUUAAGAAAAAAUUAAUAAGAAAGGAAGUAAUAGGUAGUUUUAUGUCCAACCCGAAAUGCAGAAUCUAAAACUAAGCUUAAAGUAAAAGAAAAUACAUUGUCUUUUCAAACAUUUGAAGCACAAAUAAAAAGCAGUACCAAUUAACUGUAGAGUAAAUGCACGACAAAUUCAGGGUAAAAUUAGAAAUUAAUUUUUCAUCUUAAGUUAUUCACUGGAAC